AGGCCAGAUGUUUGGAAUCUGCUGAAGCGUGCUUCCCUGCACCUGAAGGGAUACGUCUGAAGCAGAGAGCAAGAGCACUGCAAAGGGAGAACCUGCAGACAGAUAACUCGGAGAACUGCAAAAUCAUGCACAGGGCACACAAGCCAGAUCAGAACUACCACAGGAGGGAGUGGAGCUUUAAUAUGUUGCCACAGGCAGCAGCGCUAUAAGAAGAUACUGAAAGGCAUGAUCUCAUACUGUGCGGGAGGAGGGUAAACCCCUCCUGUAUUCUACCAAAGACAACCACAGGGCUCUGUGGUCGCCAGGAGUUGACACUGACUCGACGGCACACUUUACCUUUACCUCUACAGUCUCGAUCCAGAAUGAAUAAAUGAAUGGACUUGAUUACAGACAAACCAGCAACAGUAUAAUCAACAUAAACUAUGAGCAGCUUUAAAAAGAGGUAAAAAUACAUUUUAGAGGUCUUGAUCCAGAUCGUCCAUGCCUGUGCAUGCUAUUUCCUUGGGGGGAAGCUUCCACUGGUGCCAAGUAGCCAGUGGUUAAAGGGAACAGUAGCUAUGUGCUGCCUGGCUACUGAGCAAUGAAGACAUGCUGACCAAUAGACCAACUUAAGGUCUAGAGGGGUAGCUGUGCUACACCCAGCAAAGAAAAGUCUUGCUGCACCUUCAACAGAUGUAUUGUGCCAUACGUUUAUGCUAUACACAAAAACCCUGUUAGACUUAUUGAUUGAUUGAUUGAUUGAUUGUCAUCUAUAUACCGCCUUUCAUUAAAAACAAUCCCAAGGCGGUUUACAAAAGUUAAAACACAUAUAAUAAAAAUGACAAAAGUGUUAAGCUUUUAAUACUUUUAAAAGCUAAAAUAUAAAAAGCUAAAAAUAUAAAAAGAAAUCUGAUUUAAAAUAUAUAAUAUACAAACACAAAAAACUAUACAUGGACUUAAAAAGUUCCACAAGAUUCCUCUCUGUGUUUUUAGAAAUUUUACAGAGGAUUAUACUUAACCAACCCAAUUUAAUAUACUAUAUGCCUAACACUACUUGACACCCUUCCUAUUUGUGUCCCCUUCCCAAUCUGGCCCAGUAAGGUUAAUUUAAUUAUCUUUUCCUCUGUCCUCCGUAACAGCCAUGGAUUACAGAGGGUUAGUCCAUUGCAGCAACAGUGACAAAAGGUCUUGUGGCAUCUUAAAGACUAAUUGGUUUACUGAGGCAUUUACUGAGACCUUUUUGACAAAGUAUCAUAUUUUUCAGCCCAGCUCUGCUGAUGGAGAAAAGCAGAAACUGCUACCACUACCACUCUGUUUCAGACAGACCACAUGUGAUUAUACUGUGUAGCAGCAAUUGAUACCUCAAAAGAAGUAAUAUAUCUCACCUCAUAAGUUCUAUACUCUAAGAAGUCAGAAUGGUGGUAUAUCGGAAUCACUGCAGCUUGUUACCUUGUUUGUGUUUAGAAGCUUGUCCCAUUAGCGUUUCUGUGGUGUGGCGCAGUGGGGAAAUGCUUGACUAACAAGCAGAAGGUUGCCGGUUCGAAUCCCCAUUGCUACUAUAUCGGACAGCAGUGAUAUAGGAAGAUGCUGAAAGGCAACAUCUCAUACUGCGCAGGAGGAGGCAAUGGUAACCCCUCCUGUAUUCUACCAAAGAAAACCACAGGGCUCUGUGGGCACCAAGAGUCGAAAUCGACUUGAUGGCACACUUUACCUUAGUGUGGGCCUCAGGACUCAACUUCCCAAGGUGCUUGGUGGAGGUGGAGGGGAGAGAUGGAGGAGAGGAAUGGCAGAAAGUGAGGUUGCAGAGGAAAAAUAACAGAAAACAAAGAUAGUGAGCAACCUAAGGAAAAACAACAGACAACAAAGACAGUGAGCAGUCAUCAGUUUCAAAAGGGAAGAUCAAAAGUAGGCAGGGGAAAAACAAAUCAUAUAUGCAGCAGGCUAAAAUCCCUUGAUUAUGUCCCCUGUUAACUGAGCAAAGAGGCACCUUUUUAAAGUGGUGGUUUUCUUUACUGAGCAAGGGGGGAGCAACUGGUUCUAUUCAUCCCCAGCACAGCAUCCCUCCAGUGGCUGCUGCUGGUGUCUAUCUUAUGUUUCUUUUUUCUAUUGUGAGCCCUCUGGGGACAGGGAGCCAGUUUAUUUUAUUUUAUUUUAUUGAUGUUUGUUUGUAUUUAUCUUUCUUUCUGUCUGUCUAUCUAUCUUGAUAAACCGCUUUGGGAACCUUUGUUGAAAAGCGCUGUAUAAAUAUUGGUUGUAUUGUUGUAUUGUAUUGGAGCAAAAGGGUCUUCAAGCAGUGAUGGAAAAGAGGCCAGGCAGAUUCCUGGGCAGAGAGUUCCAGAGGCUAGAUGUGGCCACAGAGAUUCCGCACCUACAUUCCCACCUGCUGCUCCACAGAUAGCAGGGUAUGUAGGAGGGCCUCCUCAGCUGAUCCUAGUGGAUACACACACACACAUGGAAGGAUGUAUCCUACUGUAGUUCUAAGCAAAUCUGGAGUUUUAAAAAGAGUAACCACCAGUGCUUUGAACUGGGCCCAGGAGCCAAUGAAGCUUGUACAAAAAGAGGAGGCAUCUACUGCCAGAAACCUCUAUAAGGUUAAGAGCAACUAUAUGUAUGCUUAGAAACUUUAUAUACCACCUUUUUGUUCUAUAGGAGCUUCCAAAGAGAUUCACAUUCAUACAGGGGUGGAUUAAGCUUUUUGCUUUUGCUACCCUUUUACCUUAAACAAAAAAGGUUUGCCUUUUUAAAAUAAGGUAAAAGGGGAGGGCUUUCUCUUCUCCCACUCCACCCUUGCUGCAGCUGCCGCUGCCCACAGAGAGGGGCAGCAAAAUUUGAGUAGGGGCAAAAUUUGCUGCUCCUCAAAUUUUGCCGCCAUAGGCAAAUGCCUACUCUGCCUCUCCAUUAAUCCACUGCUGCAUAUAUAGCUAUAGAAUUAUUAAAACUAUUAAAACCAACAACAGCAACAAAAACAGAAUAGCAAAGUCAAAAUAAUACUAUUAAGAACAACCAGAUCAAGCCCCUAAUCUUCCCCUGGCUGUCUCCAAAUUGCUUUAAGCACAAGGAUUGUCAAGACUCUUUGGGGACAACUAUGUUCUCCAACUGAUCCAGAGCCCCAGAAGUCUCAAACAAACUGACUCCGUGAUGUGUGGCUAUGCAUCGGGAAUGUAGCUGUAGCUCAGUGGCACUGGCAGAGCAUUUGUUUUGCCUGCAGAAGGUCCCUAGUUCAACCUCUGGAAUUUCCAAGUAGGGCUGGCAAAGAUCCAUCUGGAAACCCUGGAACAUUGCUGCCAGUCAGUGUCUGCAGGCCUGCUCAACUGAGGCCCCCCCCCAGCUAUUUUUGAACUACAGCUCCCAGAAUCCCCAGCCACAGUGGCCAAUAGCCAGAGAUUAUGGGAGUUGUAGGCCAACAUCUGCAGGAGGGCUGAAGUUGAGCAGCCCUGGAGACAACUACUGAGCUAGAUGGACCAAAGGUCUGAUUCAAUGUAAGGUGAGUUCCUGUGUUCAUAAUAAAGUUGGCCCCAUCUAGCAGUAAGCACUUGUGCUCAGAGCUAGUUUACAAAAUCCAUACACAAAAUUCAAGAGAGAUGCAGAGUAUGGAGUCUCUCUCUUUCUUACAGCACAGAAACAUUCCUUCUUAUGAAUGAAACUGUGCACACACUUCUAAACCACACUUUGGUUCAAAUUUGACACAGCCACGUCAAAUUGCUCUGGGCCUGUAUCUGGCCUGUGGGCUGCCACUUGACAAUCCUCACUCCCAACAGAAUAAAAAUGUCUUUACCACAUGCCACAUAGAGUUUGGAAUCUACAGUCUUAGACUGCCUGAGAUAAAUUUAAUCCUCUGGUAAAUUGGUGUGUGCAUGGGCCAGAGUGCCUCCAUUAUUUUGUGGCCAGAUGACACACAGUUUCUGUCAGCUCCUAACGUCUAGUUUCUGACAUCCCCAGGCACUAACAGAUAAGGCUGAAUGUGCACUUUUAGGCUGCUAAGAACCAGCCUAAACCUGCUUUGUCUUACAUUCUUUAAGGGGAUGGGGGAGGGAACAGACACUGCUUUUAGGAAAUGAUCUACUUUAGGAUGAGAUGUUUCUUUCUGGCCUUUGUUAUGGUAAUCUCUAUAUUAGAAGUGCCAUCUCAGUGAUUCUCACCCAUCAAUCACCCCAUUGGUCCUCCUUUCUGGAUCAAUUAGCUUCCUGAUGCUGGUUCCCAGAUUCACCUUUCUAUAAGAAUACAGUCAAAGUUGUUGUAAAAUGACUUUCAUCUGAAGCGGGGGUGAGCUGGUGGGGGGAAGUGAUGUUCUCUGAAUUCCUCACUGAACCUCCUGCCCAGGAGGCAGAGAGGAUCCUUGCUAUGGAUCUCUUGUAGCCAAGUACAUUAAACACAACUGCCUAUGUCAUCCAAGGUAUAAGUUAAGUUAGACGCAGUGGCCAACUUCCAGACUUACUGCUUGCUGGUGUGCCAGGAUUUUCCAUUGUGCGAGGGGUAUGUGUGUGUGUGUGUGCAUGAUUUUUGGUGAUCUCUGCUUCUCUCUGCUGCUUUCUCCUUCCAGAAAAUCCCCUCUCCUCUCCCUUCACAUGAUGGGAAACUCUGGUAUGUCGGUGGAGGGAUAGUCUGGAUGUUGGCCACUGUUUUACUUUUUAUUUAUUUGACUGCACCUUCACUUUGAUUCUAAAGGGGUAGCCUUCUUAGUCUGCUACAGCAAAAACAAAUCUUGUGGUACUUUGAAUAGGAAUGGUUCAGGACUGGGCUACCUCCUCCCACACCCACCUGCUCUCUCAUCUAUUAUGUUUCACCCUUUCUGGUCUUCUUCCAUCCUCUCCCCAUUAGUUUCACCUCCCCCUACAGUUCCUGAUCUCUUCUCCUGCACUUUCAGGAGAUCUCUGGGGCCCUUAGGGUUGCCAUAUUCAAUCUUCCCAAAUCCAGGUGAUCUAAUUUGCAUACUAUGCAAAUUGUGCCACAACUAAUUUGCAAUUUAUGCAUUCAUUUGACAGAUUUGUAUACUUUCCCCUCCUUCUCUGCCCUCCCAUGUGACUGGAUCCAGAGUAAAAUCCGGGCAGCACAUUUGAAAUCCAUGUAAAUCCGGUGGAAUUUAAAAGCCUAGUGGAGGAGCCAAAAUCCAGGGGCUACCCUAAAUUCCAGGUGACAUGGCAACCCUAUCUCGGGGUUCCCUUCCUUGCUCUGGAGCCUGUCUCCAUCAGAGAUGCAGUUGGCAGUGACCUCGGAUGAAGCCUUGUUGGUGGUGGUGCCUAGUUGUAGAAGUCCCUCCACCUGGAGGCCUAGCAUGGCCCCCCUCUGGCUGUCUUCCAUCAUGCAGUUAGGAGUCCUCACUGUAAACUGUCAUUUGCCUGCUAUGAUCCAACUCAAUUACUAAUGAGUCUCUCCUGCUGAGCAAAGAUACAUCUUUUAAUGUGGUUAUUCUCUUUAUUUAGCAGGGGGAGAGCAAGUGGCCCUAUCCAGCCCUAGCACAGCAUCCCUCCUGUGGCGUUGCUGGUGUCUGCUUUAUUUUAUUUUUUUAUAUUUAGAUUUUGAGCCCUUUGGGGACAGGGGACAUUUUAUGUAUUAUGUAUUAUCUAUUUUUCUAUGUAAAACACUUUGUGAACUUUGGUUGAAGAGCAGUAUAUAAAAAUAUUCAUAGUAUAUAAAUAUUUGUCAUAGUAGUAGUAAUUUUAUCCUCAAAUAAUCUGGUAUUUGCUGAUGUUUUGUUUUCUACAACUAUUUUAAAUUGUAUGUUUAACCUUUUAUUUGUUUCAUAUCUUUGGUUGCUUAACUUCAUGAAGAGGUAAGUAUUUGAGGUAAAAAGUGGGGUGGUGGUGGUGGUGGUAUCGAAGUCUACCAAAGCAUAAAUAAUUUUGUCGCACAAGCUUUUAUGGGCCAGAACCUGCUACACUGGAUGCAUGAAGUAUUAUCCACUUGUUACUUGUGUGUGUUCAGUACAGUAAACCUGAUCUGGGGAGACUCUAA